CAGUCGCCGCUGGAAUACGUAGGUGGCAAGCGUUGUCCGGAAUUAUUGGGCGUAAAGCGCGCGCAGGCGGUCUUUUAAGUCUGAUGUGAAAGCCCACGGCUCAACCGUGGAGGGUCAUUGGAAACUGGAGGACUUGAGUGCAGAAGAGGAGAGUGGAAUUCCACGUGUAGCGGUGAAAUGCGUAGAUAUGUGGAGGAACACCAGUGGCGAAGGCGGCUCUCUGGUCUGUAACUGACGCUGAGGCGCGAAAGCGUGGGGAGCAAACAGGAUUAGAUACCCCUGUAGUCCCUGUCUCUUAUAC
rnacentral:rRNA from 1 species